rnacentral:rRNA from 1 species
UACGUAGGGUGCGAGCGUUAAUCGGAAUUACUGGGCGUAAAGCGUGCGUAGGCGGUUCGUUGUGUCCGAUGUGAAAGCCCCGGGCUUAACCUGGGAAUGGCAUUGGAAACUGGCGAGCUUGAGUGCGGCAGAGGGGGGUGGAAUUCCGCGUGUAGCAGUGAAAUGCGUAGAGAUGCGGAGGAACACCGAUGGCGAAGGCAGCCCCCUGGGUCGACACUGACGCUCAGGCACGAAAGCGUGGGGAGCAAACAGG